rnacentral:siRNA from 1 species
AACGGAAACAGAAACGCGGAUGC